rnacentral:lncRNA from 1 species
GUCCAAGCUGGAGGAGAUAAUGCAUGUCCAUACGUUAAUUUGCACCUAUUGUCUCUUACCCAGAGCCCCGUAGGUGAAGAUGGGUAGAGGUAUUACAUACAUGCAAUUGGCAAGGCAGGGGCUGUAAACACCUCAUUAGUAACAGAUGCAUAUUUGUAUGUGUUGGCACUGCCAUUUACUUCGGAGCACAGAAAAAAAAUACAUCUCUUUGCCAUUUGGCUUGUGCAAUGUGCAGUGAACUGAGCAGAGAUUUUUGCUGUUUUCUCUCGUAAACAUAGUGCUUGUGGAGCCAGUUCCGAGUUGCCUCACCGGCAGACGCCCGUAGCAUCUUGCAGCAUUCUCCAGACUGCGAAGACAAGAAGUCAGGUGAAGCCCAGUGAGCUGUUCUCAUGUGCACGCUAACGUGGAUGAACUAGCAAGGUGGUCUGUGUGGCUUCACACACCAAGGACAUGGCGAGGCCCAGCAUGGCACGCAGUAGGAAAGCCUCGCACACAGCCACACUUGAUCUGCAAGGAGGUGGAAGGAGCUGGUCAGGAGCUGCGUUAUGCUGUAGAAAUCGCAGGGUCUUCUCUAUGCAGGUGAAAAUGGGUGAGAAGGAGUACAACUGUUGGAUUUGUGGCAGGAAUUUUCAAACGAAUGAAAGCGUAAGGAUGAAAACAGAAGAAAAGUGUUCAGCACGGAC